CCCACAUAGUAUGGUGGUUGUGACACUCGGCUUGUAAUCGAGUGGGCACGGGUUCGAAUCCCGUAUGUGUCUUCGGGA